AAAAAAGUCGGGCAAAAAAUGCUCGCUAGGAAUAUAGGCUUCUAGCGGCCAGCGGCCAAACUAUACGCACAUUUCUUCUUCGGUGAUCUUGAUAGGAGAAACAUGCGUAUUCACGACGAGAGGGGAAAUGUGCAUUCCUACCACACAUCAGCGAAGGAAACAACAAUCAGGAUAAUCACAGAAUAACAACGGCAACCAUCUUCUUGGAAAUGAUUAUUAUAAAAUAAUUAUAUAAAAUGUAUUUAAACAGAUUUUGCAUAAGUCAGAGUAGUUUAACAGCAUUUUACAAUGUUGUUACUUUUCGUUUUCAUUAUCCAAUCAUAUAAAAAUCAAAAAAUGAAAUCAGGAAAUAAUUAAGAACACGCGAAAUUUAAAGACGAAUAGUAUAAAAAAAGAUCGCGAAACAACUUUUGAAAAUUUCGAGAAAUGAUCUCAAAUUUCAAGAAUUAUCGAGAUAAUAUCACUUCUUACAAAAUUAUAUUCUUCUGAAACAAAACCUAUAUCUUGAGGAAAAAUUCUUUCGAGGCGUCGAAAUUUUCAAUUUCGAAAAGCUCUUAAAAUGUAGCUAAAACAGCUCUUUUCAUAUGAAAAUGACGAUCAAAAUGUUAUAAGUGCUCAUGGUAUAGCGCGGCGUUGUAUCACUCGUUUUUGAAUUGCCACUAGCUGCCUGCAUAUGCACGGUUCUCCUACUAUUAAUGCUGGAGGAAGAAAUGUGCAUAUAAUUGGGCUGUUUCACCACUAGAGUAGGUAAUUUGUGAAACACGUUUGGCUGAAUUUCUUCCAUGAACAUCGGCGGUCACCCUACUCAUUUCUGACAUUACCAACCAGCAUUUAUUUGAGAAUUUUACACAUGUUCAAUAAAAUGGUUCAUUUAACAAGAUUUAGCUAUUGCUUGUACGCCUUAAAUAUAACCAUUAAUAUUAUUGAAGUUACAGCACUGUACAAAAUAAUUAAUAUAUUCCCUUCAUCAUUCAACCAUAAUUGCUCAAUAAAGAUAAUGUGAAUUAUA